rnacentral:rRNA from 1 species
UACAGAGGUCCCAAGCGUUGUCCGGAAUUACUGGGCGUAAAGCGUGCGCAGGCGGUUUGUUAAGACAGAUGUGAAAUCCCCGGGCUUAACCUGGGAACUGCAUUUGUGACUGGCAAGCUAGAGUAUGGCAGAGGGGGGUAGAAUUCCACGUGUAGCAGUGAAAUGCGUAGAGAUGUGGAGGAAUACCGAUGGCGAAGGCAGCCCCCUGGGCCAAUACUGACGCUCAUGCACGAAAGCGUGGGGAGCAAACAGG